UAUAGGCCUUUUUAAUCUUAAA
rnacentral:siRNA from 1 species